AAAGUAUUUACCAAAAACUCAAUAUUUUUGUAGAGGUUAACACAUAGAUUUUGAGAAAAUUUCAAAAAAUACGAAAAUAUUGUUUUAAUGCACAGUUGCAUCUUGUACUAAUAUAUGUUGAUGGUGAAAGAGGUUUAAAAUAUUUUUUGUCUCCAUUUCUCUAGAUAAUAGCGAUUUUAUAAUGGUUAGUUUCCUAAUUUAGGGAAUAUAUGAAGUUUUACUAAAUUAAAUUAUAAAAACAAUUUAACUAUGCUCAUUUACCAUUAAAAAGAGUUUAGAAUAUAUUAAUACAAAUGAAGAAUAUGGUGAGAAAUUUUAAAAUAACACUAAAUAUUAUACGCUUCGGUAUAUAAAGUAUUGAACAAAAACUCUAUAUUUUUUAGGGGUUAACACAUAGAUUUUGAGAAAAAAUU